rnacentral:misc_RNA from 1 species
AAGAGGAAGAGAAGAAAUAAGAACAAAAAACAAUAAGUAAUAACAGCCACGAAACCUUAUGAAAAGGAAAAAGAAGAAACUUUCUGGAAAAAAUCUCAUAUCUCUCAUUUUCUCUUUGCAUUACUGUUUUAAUCUUCAUUGACUUAGGUGAUAGUAAAUAUGGGUUGCUGAUUUCAUAUGCUAUUAAGUCUAAUAAAGCCCAUUAAGUAAUUAUAAUGUGUUAUAUAUAUAUCAUUAAACCCUAAACUAUAAAACCUAUUAAAUGCCAAUUAAAAGCUCAU